AUGAUUGGGCUUAUCUUCCCCUAAUGGAGAAGAGCUGCUCAGGGGACAGCUUCAGUAAGUCACGCCGCUUACGGAGCCUCUCGCAGCCUGCAGGCGUCGCCCUUCCCUCUGAACUCAUCUCCGCGCAGGCGCAGGAAUGCGAGGGUGACCCCGGAGCCCGAGCCCAGUGCAGGCCGGAAGUGGGUGGUGGCUCUGGCUAUGGGGGGCGGUGACGUUGUGUCCGAGCCUCACACAGGUGAAUCUGACAACUACCACACUCCACAGGCCCCAGCUCUCUGUGCUCACAGCAAGCCUAGAAGCUCAGGGAGUUUUCGCAGCGCAGCCCGGCCGGAGAACGCUUAGCUUCGCUCCUAAGCAAGUGGUCCAAACAACUUGUCAGGUGCUUCCUGGAGCAACGCGUUGAGCGGCCGCUGCUGGGACGCGGCCACUUCCAGUUAACCGAACAGAUGCUGCUUCCUUUGAAAACGAAGGAGGCCCCGGCACCUCCGCGUUGUUUUUUGCAGGCAGAAGCCCGGCGGUGUAACCGAGGGCACCUGGCCGCCCCUCGCCCACACUCUCGCCUCGCUGUCCACCCUGCCCGACCCUGUGGCCACCGCAGCACUGUGGCGAGGCCUGGC